rnacentral:tRNA from 1 species
CCAGUUCAAAUACUGGUUCAAGCUCUAUCCCC